rnacentral:tRNA from 1 species
GGUUCCGUGGCGUAGCAGUCAGCACGUCUGCUUUACACGCAGAAGGUCCUGGGUUCAUGCCCCAGUGGAGCUA